CUUAGCUGUUAAAUUUAGUGAAUCUCCAGCGACCACAAUUCAAUUCUGCUUUGCUCGUUGUUGGAGCACUUAUUAUUAGUUCAUCCUUAGAAUUCAAACUCUACUUUUCAAAGACACGGCCGAGACUUUUGCUUUCAGUAUUGCUGAAGAAGUAUUGGGAAAGCUCGCUUCUAAAGCUGACAAGAGAUUUCUCUUGCCUGGGGUUAUAAAGAGGAACUAAAAAAGCUUGAGGAUAUCUUAUCAACUGUAAGAGCUGUGCUGUUGGAUGCAGAGGAGAAGCAAGCGAAGAAUCUGGAGCUACGCGUUUGGUUGGCUAAGCUUAAAGCCGCUCUUUAUGAUGCUGAUAAUGUUCUUGCUGAUUUUGAGUACGAGAUUACAAGAAGACGAGUGGUUAAAUUAGAUGGGAGUACCAUAAAAAAAGGUGGAUCAUUUCUUCUCAUCCUCUAAUCCACUCGUAUUUCCUUUUAAAAUGGAUCAUAAAAUAAAACAAAUAAGAGAGAGAUUAGACGAGAUUGCAAGUCAUAAGGAUAAAUUUCAUCUCACUGAAGUAGAUGAAAGUAGAUUUGUUGUGUAUAGAACAAGGGAGAUGAUCCACUCCUAUGUGCUAGCUUCUGAUAUCAUUGGAAGAGAUGCAGAUAAGGAAAAAGUUAUCAAACUUUUAAUGCCCAACUGAUGAUAGGGCAAUAUCUAUUAUUCCUAUUGUUGGAUUAGGAGGUUUGGGGAAAACUACACUUGCUAAAUUGGUCUUUAAUGAUGUGGGGUGCCAAUUUGCGCUUAGAAUAUGAGUUUGUGUUUCAGAAGAUUUUGAUAUAAAAAAAAUUAGUGGAGAAAAUUAUUAAAUCAACAACCAGUAGCACAGAAAACUUGAGCAAUUGCAAAGAAAGUUGCAAGAAACCAUUGGUGAUAAGAAAUAUUUGCUUGUGUUAGAUGAUGUGUGGAAUGAAGAGCCCAUGAAAUGGAACACAUCAAAGAAUUAUUGUGUAUGGGUGCAAACGGAAGCAAAAUCUUGGUAACUACUUGUUGUAAGAAAGUGGCUUAUAUUGCAGGCACCAUCCCUGCAGCUUAUGAGCUAUCACGUUUUUCUGAUGAUGAGAGCAAGGUUUUGUUUACUAAAUUUGCAUUUAAAGAAGGCCAAGAGAAAGACUAUCCCAACUUAUUAAAAAUUGGGGAUGAAAUUCUCAAAAAGUGUAAAGGAGUUCCUUAGCUGUAAAGACACUGGCUUCUCUUCUUCUUUUAAAAACUGACGAAGGUUAUUGGAAAUAUAUAAGAGAUAAUGAGUUGUGGAACUUAGAGCAGAAGGAAGAUGGAAUUUUACCAGCUUUAAGAUUGAGCAUUGAGCAGUUGCCAUCUCACCUGAAAACAUGUUUUGCUUAUUGUUCACUCUUUCUAAAGGACUAUCAAUUUUCGGAUCUUCAUUUAGUGCAAGUUUGGAUGGCACAUGGACUUGUUCAUUCAGUGAAUGAAAAAGAGGGAUUGGAAGAUGUAGGCAUGCGUUAUGUUCAAGAGUUAGCUUCCAGAUCUUUUUUUCAAGACUUCGAAGUACAAAGAGGAUUAUUUCUUGUAUUUAAAAUGCAUGAUCUAAUACAUGAUCUGGCAUUAUCAUUAACAAAAGAUGAAUGCACAAUUAUAACCUCUAGCACCAAACAACUCUCAGAGAAUGUUCGACAUUUGUUAUUUGAUGAACCCACUUUUCUUCCCGAAAAUCUUCCAUUGAUCUUACAAAGCUUAGAUGAUCGGAUCAGAGAAAACUGUUUCACUAAUGUAUGGGGGCGUCGACAAUCAACACAUUUUAGACUUGUGCUCGUCGAAAUUUCAAAAUCUAAGAAUGUUGGAAUUUAAUUAUUCUAACGUGGACUUGCCAAAACAGAUUGGUACUUUGAAGCAUUUGAGGUUUCUUAGUUUAUUUAUAAAUCCUCAAAUCAAAAGACUCCCAAAAUCUAUUUGCAAGUUGCACAAUUUACAAACAUUAGGCCUAUCUGGAUGUAAUGAAAUCGACGAUUUGCCCAAAGAUUUAAGGUUAUUGAUCAACCUUAUAUUUUUAGACACAACCACAGAGCAAAAACAUUUGCCAAAGAAUGGAAUAGAGUCAUUGAAACCUUUGCAACUUAAUUAUCGAAAGUUGAAAAUAGCUUAAUCUCUUUGCUGCAAGGUAUGAAAUUUCUAGUCGCACUGAAGGGUCUUUUCAUUUUUGAUUGUAAAAACCUUGAUUUGACAAUAGAGGAUAGGGAAAUUAAUGAAAAGUCGAGUGCACUUUGUCUUCAAAAGCUGAUACUUGAGGGAUUGCCGAUAUCGGUGAAUUUGCCACAAUGGCUUCUUCAAGGAUACACUCUACAACUCUUACAUCUGGAAGAUUGUGAUAAUCUCAGAGAAUUGCCAGCAUGCCUGCACAACAUAGAGUCUCUUCAACAAUUAACGAUUCUGGAUUGUCGUUUGUUGGGAGAAAGAUGCAAAUGUGAAGAGGGUGAAGAUUGGUCCAAGAUUUCUCAUAUCCGUGAAGUUACUAUUGAUGGCCACAACAUCUGAUGAAGAUAGUGAUUAGCAGGUAUCAUAUUCACGAGGACUUAACUGAACUGCAGAAAGUUCCACUGUUAGUUGAUUGUAAUAACCUUCACUUUACAUAUGGUAUUUUGUAAUUUGCAUUGUAUUCCUUAUUAAUUUUAUAUUGUAAUGGUGUCAUCUCCUUAUAUAUGAACUUUAUGUAUUUUAAAUAUAAACAUCACAAGAUUUGUAAAAGGAAUUCCAAUACCUGAGAAGAAAACAAAUUACCAUUUCAGUUGA